rnacentral:rRNA from 1 species
GACUCCUUGAGAGUCCUGAAGGAACGUUGAAGACGACGACGUUGAUAGGCCGGGUGUGUAAGCGCAGCGAUGCGUUGAGCUAACCGGUACUAAUGAACCGUGAGACUUAACCUUACAACGCCGAAGGUGUUU